AACGAACGCUGGCGGCAGGCCUAACACAUGCAAGUCGAACGCAUCGCAAGAUGAGUGGCGCACGGGCGAGUAACACGUGGGAAUGUACCCUUUGGUUCGGAAUAACGUUUGGAAACGAACGCUAAUACCGGAUGAGCCCUACGGGGGAAAGAUUUAUCGCCAAAGGAGCAGCCCGCGUCUGAUUAGCUAGUUGGUGGGGUAAAGGCCUACCAAGGCGACGAUCAGUAGCUGGUCUGAGAGGAUGAUCAGCCACACUGGGACUGAGACACGGCCCAGACUCCUACGGGAGGCAGCAGUGGGGAAUAUUGGACAAUGGGCGCAAGCCUGAUCCAGCCAUGCCGCGUGAGUGAUGAAGGCCUUCGGGUUGUAAAGCUCUUUCGCACACGACGAUGAUGACGGUAGUGUGAGAAGAAGCCCCGGCUAACUUCGUGCCAGCAGCCGCAGUAACAC
rnacentral:rRNA from 1 species